rnacentral:rRNA from 1 species
CCGGUUGAUCCUGCCGGAGGCUACUGCUAUCGAGGUUCGACUAAGCCAUGCGAGUCGAAUGUAGCAAUACAUGGCGUACUGCUCAGUAACACGUGGAUAACCUACCCUUGAGAUGGGAAUAAACCCGGGAAACUGGGUAUAAUACCCGAUAGAUCUCGACUGCUGGAAUGCAUCGAGAUCCAAAGCUCCGGCGCUCAAGGAUGGAUCUGCGGCCUAUCAGGUAGUAGUGGGUGUAGUGUACCUACUAGCCUACGACGGGUACGGGUUGUGAGAGCAAGAGCCCGGAGAUGGAUUCUGAGACACGAAUCCAGGCCCUACGGGGUGCAGCAGGCGCGAAAACUUUACAAUGCUGGAAACAGCGAUAAGGGGACCUCGAGUGCCAGGUUACAAAUCUGGCUGUCGUGAUGCCUAAAAAGCAUUGCAUAGCAAGGGCCGGGCAAGACCGGUGCCAGCCGCCGCGGUAACACCGGCGGCUCGAGUGGUAACCGUUAUUAUUGGGUCUAAAGGGUCUGUAGCCGGCCGGAUAAGUCUUUUGGGAAACCUGGCAGCUUAACUGUCAGGCUUUCAGGAGAUACUGUCUGGCUCGAGGCCGGGAGAGGUGAGAGGUACUUCAGGGGUAGGGGUGAAAUCUUGUAAUCCUUGAAGGACCACCAGUGGCGAAGGCGUCUCACCAGAACGGACCUGACGGCAAGGGACGAAAGCUAGGGGCACGAACCGGAUUAGAUACCCGGGUAGUCCUAGCCGUAAACGAUACUCGCUAGGUGUCGGCAACGGUGCGACCGUUGUCGGUGCCGUAGGGAAGCCGUGAAGCGAGCCACCUGGGAAGUACGGCCGCAAGGCUGAAACUUAAAGGAAUUGGCGGGGGAGCACCACAACGGGUGGAGCUUGCGGUUUAAUUGGAUCAACGCCGGAA